UACGUAGGGUGCGAGCGUUGUCCGGAAUUAUUGGGCGUAAAGGGCUCGUAGGCGGUUUGUCGCGUCGGGAGUGAAACUCAGGGCUUAACCCUGAGCCUGCUUCCGAUACGGGCAGACUAGAGGUAUGCAGGGAGAAUGGAAUUCCUGGUGUAGCGGUGAAAUGCGCAGAUAUCAGGAGGAACACCGGUGGCGAAGGCGGUUCUUUGGGCAUUACCUGACGCUGAGGAGCGAAAGUGUGGGAGCGAACAGG
rnacentral:rRNA from 1 species